rfam:Gasterosteus aculeatus cont1.004638, whole genome shotgun sequence.
UGUUGUCCACUGCCCUUUUCCUCUUGCACUACUGGACAUUGAGAUGAGCAGUGCAAUAUUAAAAGGGCAUUGGCUGAUG